rnacentral:rRNA from 1 species
GACGAACGCUGGCGGCGUGCUUAACACAUGCAAGUCGAACGGAAAGGCCCUGCUUUUGUGUCGUUCUCGUGUGGCGAACGGGUGAGUAACACGCGUGUAACAUCCCCUUGUCUUUGGGAUAACUUUACGAAACUGCGGAUAAUAUCGGAUAUGAUCUCUUGCUGCACGGUGGUGGUUGGUAAGUUUCGGUGGUUGGGGAUGGACUCGAGGCUUAUGAGCUUGUUGGUGGGGUAGGUGCUGACCAAGGCUUUGACGGGUAGCCGGCCUGGGAGGGUUACCGGCCACAUUGGGACUGAGAUACGGACCAGAAUCCUACGGGAGGCAGCAGUGGGGAAUAUUGCACAAUGGGCGGAAGCCUGAUGCAGCAACGCCGCGUGCGUGAUGACGGCCUUCGGGUUGUAAACCGCUUUCGCCUGUGACGAAGCGUGAGUGACGGUAAUGGGUAAAGAAGCACCGGCUAACUACGUG